GGCGUACCCGCAUCUGCCCCUCAGGAAGCAUCAGGAAACCCAAACAGAGCAACAGGUCCCAAAGUAACUGGCCUGCGUGCUUAAAAAAUGUCAAGAUCGAGAAAGACAAAGAAUGGCUAGGGAAGUGUUCCGGAUUAAAGGAGACUAAAGAGAGGUGGACCCUCCCUCCCCGGAGACCACCCGUUUGUUUCGUUCCUGUCCUCCCAGAGAUAUUUUCUGCACAUACACACUCAGGGCUGGCGGGACGACACGCUGGAUGGUAACUGCUGAGUCAUCAGCCACUUGGUGACCUCGAGUAGCUGUUUCAGCCCACCUACAGAAACUGUGGAUCCUUUGCCAAACCGUUGCCAUAAGUGUUAAGAACCAAGCUCAGUUAUUCUCUUAAAAAUAGUAAUUUUCAAGAAGAUGGAAGUCUUCAACUUUAAAACCA